rnacentral:rRNA from 1 species
GACGAAGGAUGCAAGCGUUAUCCGGAUUCAUUGGGUUUAAAGGGAGCGUAGGUGGCCUUAUAAGUCAGCGGUGAAAUCUCUGGGCUUAACCCAGAAAUUGCCAUUGAUACUGUAGGGCUUGAGUACAGUUGCUGUGGGCGGAAUAUGACAUGUAGUGGUGAAAUACAUAGAGAUGUCAUAGAACACCGAUUGCGAAGGCAGCUCACAAAACUGUAACUGGCACUGAGGCUCGAAAGUGCGGGGAUCAAACAGG